GAUCUGGAACAUAUUUAUGUAUCAGUAGCAGCAAUAUUCUUUUUGGGAAUUGUGCAUAUGAGUCAUUUCUACAUAGUAAAGCUAAUCAUUGUUGUCCGAGGAACAUAGCUUAUGAUGAUUGUGCAACUGUUUAAUUUUUGAUAGAUUUGGUAUCAUAAAAUUUACUAAAGUAUGCAUCAGUUGCACCUGCCUAUAUUUCGUACCUCUGUUAGAUUUUUCGUUUAUAGAAGAUGAUGUGCCGGUUCAAUACCUGGUUUCCACUUUUAUGAUAAAUCAAUGUUUCCUUGCUUGCGAAGUGUGAUAAUGAGGAAAUUUUGGGAUUUGCUAAGCUGUUCAAUGAUGAACUCACACUAGAUAAUAUCAGCAGGCCUCGUCUAGUGAAUAUGUGCAAGUACAUGGGAAUCAGCUCUAUUGGAACAGACUCUUACUUGCGGUAUAUGCUACGGAAAAGGUUGCAAAGGUGUGUUGUUUCCCAUUCCCUUCACUGUGGUAGCAGCAACAUAUAGUCAUAUUCAAAUAUGACUAUAGUCAUAUUUAUGUAUUUAAUUAGAUGAAUUGAAGCGUACUCCCCC